rnacentral:lncRNA from 1 species
AAGUGACUGAGCCGCCCAGGCACCCCAUCGACCCUUGUCUUUUUAAUGAUCUGUAUAAAGAAAAGCGGGAAGGACGGAUAAAGCAUUUUGGCUGCAUACAAAAGCACCAUCGUUGCAGAUAGCGUGGAGGAAAAGCUCACAUGUGGUCGAAUUGUGAGCUGAAUCACUCAUUGCUUUUUCACGACACAUGCUUUUUACUUGAAAGAACAACCGACGAGCUCCAUGCUUUUUCAGAUUUGGGCAUUUUGCAGAUGUUCUCUCAGAAAUGAAUUAAGCGAGCCUGUCAUUUUAGGGAACGCAACUGGCGGUAUUUGUUACCGGCGAUAAAGUUCGAGCUAAGUGAAAAGCAGAAGUUUGGAAAACUUUAUCUGCCAUUCUGAACUUGACGCCUUCUCAUCAAAUGUCCUGGAGGAGAACUGUGGCGAUACUGGUGACUUUGAAUUCGUGAUACUGUACAAUGAAACGUGUCAAUGUUUGCAAAACCUGCAGGAGUCUGCGAAGCAGUUGUUUCCCAAUGAACAAUCAAGAUGUUAGGAAAUCUUGCCUGGGUAAGAGAUCCCUUCAAAGUGGGAGACAGACCAGUGGAUUUUGAUGGGGCAGAGUAGAACAGUUCGGCAGCACAGUUUCGGAUUUUACGGUGCAGCUACGCUUAACCAAAACUUGUCAAGUGUGACCGUAGUACCAAAGAACACCCAUCAUUAUCCGAAAAGGCUGUUAAACUGCUUCUCCCUUUUCCAACCAUGCAUCUGUGUGAGGCCAGAUUUUCUCUAUACCUUUUAACCAGAACAAGCUAUUGCCCGAGACCGAAAGCAGAAGCUGAUCUCAGAAUCCAGCUGUCUUCCAUUAAGCUGGACAUUAAAGGGGAUUUGAAGAUAUGUAAAACAACGUCCCUCUUCUCACCAAUCAUCUUCGUUCUGUAAGGUAGAGUUUAUUUUUUUAUAACUUUUUUAAGUUUAUACUUAUGUAUUUUGAGAGUGAUAGAAAGCAAGUGGGGGAGGGGCAGAGACAAUCCCAGGCAGGCUCCAGUGCUGUCACAGAGCCCCGUGCAGGGCUCGAACUCACGAACUGUGAGAUCAUGACCUGAGCCUAAAUCAAGAGUCGGACUCUUAACGGACGGAACCACCCAGGCAUGCACGAUAGAGUUUGUUUUGUAAAAUAUAGACACGUUUUGAUUUCGAAACAUGUGACAUGUUACCGUGUAAUGGGUUGUUUUGAAAUGAAUAAAUUCAUGCAUAUUUGUACAGUUCUUCAGUUUUCAUAUCUUAUAUGACAAACAGCAGCCAAAGCACUCUGGGGCCUCUCCUCAAUAAUUUUUAAGCACGUAGAGACAUCCAAAGACCACGGAUGUUGUGAACCGCCGACUCGUGGCCCGGCACAUAGUGGGUACUCACUGACUAGAUGUGGUGGCCAGGCCUUUGAAGGCGAUGACAGGCCAGGCUGCCUGGUUGCGAUGUUUCUCUGUUCUUCGAAGGACGGUGUCUGGACGGCCUGGUCCUUGCUCCUGU